GACGAACGCUGGCGGCGUGCUUAACACAUGCAAGUCGAACGCUGACGCUUGGUGCUUGCACUGGGUGGAUGAGUGGCGAACGGGUGAGUAAUACGUGAGUAACCUGCCCUUGACUAUGGGAUAGGCCUGGGAAACUGGGUCUAAUACUGGAUACGACAUGUCACCGCAUGGUGGUGUGUGGAAAGGGUUUUGCUGGUAUUGGAUGGGCUCACGGCCUAUCAGCUUGUUGGUGGGGUAAUGGCACACCAAGGCGACGACGGAUAGCCGGCCUGAGAGGGUGACCGGCCACACUGGUACUGAGACACGGCCCAGACUCCUACGGGAGGCAGCAGGGGGGAAUAUUGCACAAUGGGCGGAAGCCUGAUGCAGCGACGCCGCGUGAGUGAUGACGGCCUUCGGGUUGUAAACCUCUUUCAGCACGGAAGAAGCGAAAGUGACGGUACGUGCAGAAGAAGCGCCGGCUAACUACGUG
rnacentral:rRNA from 1 species